rnacentral:rRNA from 1 species
CCUACAGGUGGCAGCAGUAGGGAAUUUUCCGCAAUGGGGGAAACUCUGACGCAGCAACGCCGCGUGAUCGAUGAAGCCCUUCGGGGCGUAAAGAUCUGUCAGUGGGGACGAAACCUGACGGUACCCACAGAGGAAGCACCGGCAAACUCCGUGCCAGCAGCCGCGGUAAUACGGGGGGUGCAAGCGUUGUCCGGAAUCAUUGGGCGUAAGGAGUUCGUAGGUGGCACGUUAAGUCGGGUGUAAAAGGCUGAAGCUCAACUUCCGUAGGGCACUGGAUACUGGCGAGCUUGAAUGCGGUAGAGGUAAAGGAAAUUCCUGGUGUAGCGGUGAAAUGCGUAGUUAUCAGGAGGAACAUCGGUGGCGUAAGCGCUUUACGGGGCCGUAAUUGACACUGAGGAACGAAAGCCGGGGUAGCAACUGGGAUUAGAUACCCUUGUAGU